rnacentral:tRNA from 1 species
CAUUUUUGAGAAACCCGGCGCAAAUACUACGAGUAUUAUAAGGCUUAAUAAGCCCUCAAAACUA